rnacentral:rRNA from 1 species
UACGAAUGGAGCAAGCGUUGUUCGGAAUCACUGGGCUUAAAGCGUGCGCAGGCGGCUCAUAAAGUCAGGUGUGAAAUCCCGGGGCUCAACCCCGGAAUUGCACUUGAAACUCAUGAGCUAGAAUCCCGGAGAGGUUAGCAGAAUUCCGAGUGUAGAGGUGAAAUUCGCAGAUAUUCGGAGGAAUACCAGUGGCGAAGGCGGCUAACUGGACGGGCAUUGACGCUCAGGCACGAAAGCGUGGGUAGCAAACAGG